rnacentral:misc_RNA from 1 species
GAUGAAGAACGUAGCGAAAUGCGAUAAGUAGUGUGAAUUGCAGAAUUCAGUGAAUCAUCGAAUCUUUGAACGCACAUUGCGCCCCUUGGUAUCCCGAGGGGCAUGCCUGUUCGAGCGUCAUUUCACCACUCAAGACUGGCUUGGUGUUGGGCGACGUCCUCUUUGGGGACGCGCCUCGAAACGCUCGGCGGCGUGGCACCGGCUUUAAGCGUAGCAGAAUCUUUCGCUUUGGAAGUCGGGGCCCCGUCUGCCGGAAGACCUGCUCGCAAGGUUGACCUCGGAUCAGGCAGGGAUACCCGCUGAACUUAAGCAUAUCAAUAAGCGGAGGA